UACGUAGGGGGCAAGCGUUGUCCGGAAUCAUUGGGCGUAAAGAGCGUGUAGGCGGCUCGGUAAGUCAGCUGUGAAAGUCCAGGGCUCAACCCUGGAAUGCCGGUGGAAACUGUCGAGCUAGAGUCCGGAAGAGGCGAGUGGAAUUCCUGGUGUAGCGGUGAAAUGCGCAGAUAUCAGGAGGAACACCAAUGGCGAAGGCAGCUCGCUGGGACGGUACUGACGCUGAGACGCGAAAGCGUGGGGAGCAAACAGG
rnacentral:rRNA from 1 species